AGCAUCUCAAGGAAUGACGUAAUUCCGGUCAAACCGCUUGAGCGUCCGUUGCGACCUUCCCUAUUCUGAGGACUCCAGGGCUCGUUCACUUUGUCCCCAGCUAUCAACGAGAGUGGAAGUGCGCGUUUUGUACCGCGAGUUUUUGGCUUUUUGUACAAAAUUUUCCCGUUAGUUAGUCGUGUGUGCGCUAGUGCUAAAAAUUGUCUAAUUUGUGUGCGAACAGGAGAAAAGCAUUCGCCCGUUAGCAACAGCGCUAACCAUCCCGCAGCAGCACCAGUCCAGCAGCAGCGCGAACACACGAG